UACGUAGGUGGCAAGCGUUGUCCGGAUUUAUUGGGCGUAAAGCGAGCGCAGGCGGUUCCUUAAGUCUGAUGUGAAAGCCCACGGCUCAACCGUGGAAGGUCAUUGGAAACUGGGGAACUUGAGUGCAGAAGAGGAGAGUGGAAUUCCAUGUGUAGCGGUGAAAUGCGUAGAUAUAUGGAGGAACACCAGUGGCGAAGGCGACUCUCUGGUCUGUAACUGACGCUGAGGCUCGAAAGCGCGGGGAGCAAACAGGAUUAGA
rnacentral:rRNA from 1 species